AAUAGCUCAGUGGUAGAGCAAUCGGCUGUUAACCGAUCGGUCGUAGGUUCGAGCCCUACUU
rnacentral:tRNA from 2 species